AAACCAGCACCUCAAGUGGUCAGGAUGAUUAUGGGGCCUAAAGCAUCCGUAGCCUGCUCUGUAAGUUUUCGGUUAAAUCUGUACGCUUAACGUACAGGCUGCCGGGAAUACUGCAGAGCUAGGGAGUGGGAGAGGUAGACGGUACUCGGGAGGAAGUGGUAAAAUGCUUUGAUCUCUCGAUGACCACCUGUGGCGAAGGCGGUCUACCAGAACACGUCCGACGGUGAGGGAUGAAAGCUGGGGGAGCAAACCGGAUUAGAAACCCGAGUAGUCC
rnacentral:rRNA from 1 species